UCCAUUUAGUAGGCAUUUUAUGCAUAAAAAAAACAAAUGAAAAACGCCGGUUGUUGAAAAGGAAUCUAAUUUCAAUUCGAGACAUUCCACGAAACGUUGUUUUUUUUUCACUUCAUAUAAAAACAAAAAAAAAGUGAAAUUAUUUUUAUGCGGUAACGGGAGAGUCACGAUAGCCUUCUCCCCAGUAAAAAAAACAAAACAGGAUGACUCAUUGCGGUUUCUUGUUCAUCGGCGGUUCGUUCCAGCAUCACCAGAUUUGCAAUGAAUCACUUGGAGGAAGUAAGAAAAAAGGCAGUUUGAACACCAAACGGAAAUGACUGUUUGCUUUAGAAAAUGGCCGCCAGUCAUUCGAGCAGUGACGUUCUGCUUCGAGUAACCGUACCAACUCUGUUGUGCAGUUCACAUUGAAAAACGAUAUGACGAAUGUGAGACGAACAUUUUUCUUAAUGUUGUGUGUGUGUGCAAGACAUUCUAAUGGAUAAAAAAAAAUUCCAAGAACUGAAGAGUGUCGGAUAAGAAAAAUGUAGAACGUGUCUUAACCGCGCUGUUUGAGCCUUAGCAAAAUAACUAUGCCCACGUCUAAUGUAUCCGAAACUGACCCUAAAAAAAAGAUGGGAUGUUUGUCAACCUAAGACCUCAGUAAAUGUAUCUCUCUUUUUUCCUUUGCAAAAGCUUUUUUUUAUCGCCAUUUUCUGUAUCAAGUUCUGGGUAACAUUCCAGAGGAGGAUUUUGAAAGUGGACUUUUAAGAAAAUGGACAAAGUCCCUAUAAAUUCUUGCUCUUAUGAUCCAAUAGACUGAACUUUAUGAAAAUUCUUUGUCUUUUCUGCAAUUCUGCAAUGUAACUUGAUUUUUUUUUUCAUGCACGUUAUGCAAAAUGUUUUCCAUUUGAUUAAAAUCAUCAGUUCUUUUUAGACUAACUUUUGGCUUUGAUUCCCACCCAAAAAAAAAAGAGGGGGUUCACACUUCCGUUUGGUUUUGCAUCUGUGGCCGGAUGUUGGACCGUGUCACAUUCAGGAAACGGAGACCAGCCGAUUCUGCUGGUGUCGACGGGUUGACUUCGCACCACCACCAACAACGAAAAAUGUCGACUCUCAAUAAAUCACAGCCGCUGAUUCGAUGAAAGAAUUUUGGGAAUUGGGAAAAAGGGAGGACAGUAAAAAAAAAAAGAUGAAAAGGCACGUACAUCGAUCAGGAUAUCUGUCUUGUUCCGGGGCGGAAGUUAUUUCAAAACGACCUAAUAAAAACGUUACGAACAUAGGAAAACUAAAAAUAGUCAUAAAUAAAUAACGCACUGAAAUCGAACCCAUCGAAUAAGGAAUGAAAAAAAUCGACAUAAAUUUGACAGCAAAAAUGAUAACAGUAAUAGCUAAACAACAAGAAACUCAAUAAAAUACUAUGAAAUAAAAUAGGGAAAAAAAAAAAAUCUAUAACCAGAUCGAUUUCCUUCGUCAUUACGCACAGGCCAUACAUCCGUUUCCGGAGAGACAGAGAUCAGCCAGAGGUCAAUCGUCCCUCUAUAAAUUGCUCUUAUAAAUGUUCAUAUUUUUUUCUCCGCGUUGAAUUUUCAGUGUUGGUUGGCAACUCCCCACAAUUCCCGGAAGUAGAUACGUACGUCGAUGUCGUCAUUUAAUGCCACCCCCUCCCCCCUCGCAGAUCCUUCAUAAAUUUCAUCACUUUCUCAUGGCGUUGUUAAAUCUUGAAACUCAUUUCUUUCAUUCCCAAAACACUCCAAGAUUUUAAAAAACGGAAUUUGUUGGCCACCUACUGGCAUAUUCAGAUAUCAAAUCAAUAAAAUUCACAAGAAGUUUGUUCUUUUUUUAAAA